CACGUAGGGACCAAGCGUUGUCCGGAUUUAUUGGGCGUAAAGAGCUCGUAGGCGGUCGUGUAAGUCGGGGUGUGAAAUCUCCGGGCUCAACUCGGAGGGGGCCACCCGAUACUGCUCGACUCGAGUCCGGUAGGGGGAGUGGGGGAAUUCCUGGGUUGUAGCGGUGAAAUGCGCAGAUAUCAGGAGGAACACCGGUGGCGAAGGCGCCACUCUGGGCCGGUACUGACGCUGAGACGCGAAAGCGUGGGGAGGCGAACAGG
rnacentral:rRNA from 1 species